rnacentral:rRNA from 1 species
UACGUAGGGUGCAAGCGUUGUCCGGAAUUAUUGGGCGUAAAGAGCUCGUAGGCGGUCUGUCGCGUCUGCUGUGAAAACUCAGGGCUUAACCCUGAGCUUGCAGUGGGUACGGGCAGACUAGAGUGCGGUAGGGGAGACUGGAAUUCCUGGUGUAGCGGUGAAAUGCGCAGAUAUCAGGAGGAACACCGGUGGCGAAGGCGGGUCUCUGGGACGUAACUGACGCUGAGGAGCGAAAGCGUGGGGAGCGAACAGG